UACGGAGGGUGCAAGCGUUAAUCGGAAUUACUGGGCGUAAAGCGCACGCAGGUGGCUGAGUCAGUCGAUUGUGAAAGCCCUGGGCUUAACCUGGGAAUUGCAGUCGAUACUACUCGGCUCGAGUAUGGGAGAGGGCAGUGGAAUUCCCGGUGUAGCGGUGAAAUGCGUAGAUAUCGGGAGGAACAUCAGUGGCGAAGGCGGCUCACUGGCCCGGUACUGACGCUGAGGUGCGAAAGCGUGGGGAGCAAACAGG
rnacentral:rRNA from 1 species